AUGAUUUAUGUAAAUUUACCUCAAUAAUAUGAAUGUUCAGGUUAAGAUUGUGCAGUGAUAUUUAUUAUGCAAGUUUAGCUGAUUAAAGUUUAUGACUCUGCACUAAAAUAUUAUUUAAAUUGACAUCAUUAUUAUAAUAUUUAGGGUCAGACCCUACAGUAUUGAGAUUAAGAAAUCAAAUAUUCUAUAAAAUGUAAAUACACUGAACUCAUUUGGAUGUAUUUAAGUGAGACUCUACAAUAUUAUUUGACACAAAUCUCUCUAAAUCAAAAUUUUAAUAAUUUUCACACCAAACAUUUACUCGACUGAUUUGAAUAUUAAAAUCACUCCUUUCUAAUCCUCUGCUGUACGUUCAAACCUGAGGCCUUAAAUAGAAACACACAAGUAUCUGUUUGAAGGAACUUCUGUAGAGUCCUGGUUCCAGAACAUGAUGAUAGAAUUAUAGACAAACUUUAACAAAAGCUGCCUGAGAGUUUACAGGUUUUUAUGUUGGAUUUCUUCAGUAAUUUAAUGAGCGUUAUCAGCAAUAAUCAAGUGUUCAUUUGAUGAACUUCAUUUCCUAAAACAUAUAGAAUUGGAGCUCAUAUCUUUGGCAGCUGUAAAGUUUCUGCUCCUUCAAAGAUCACAACACAAUGAAUGAAUUCCUAAAACACUCUCAAUGCUGGAGAGCGUUUGUGAUGCUGAAGCAGUGAUCAGUUUUUCUGUUUCUUCUCUGGAGAUGCACAAUGAGGGACGUCUGCAGAGACUGAGAAAGAGUCUCACCACAUCCUGACAUGAGGAAAAAGACUUUAUUGAAGACUACAAUGAGAAAAACCAUCAGACGGCAUGCAUUCAAGUCUGUAGCUGCUGAAUUCAUGGAUGAAUCAUCUGGCACUAGAGAAGAAGACCAUCAAACAUCCACGUCAGCUGAUGGAGGUCCAAGAGUCUCACCGAACAACCAACCUACAGAGUGAAGACCUCAAAUCUGAUUGGACGGCCUCCUAUUCAGCCACGUGUGAACAAAUGCCUCUAAGUUGAUUUGUUUUCUAAAAUAAAUCUAGUUUGAGUCCUAAUCUAUGCCUGUGUGUUUGCUUCUUUACACUGCUGUUAACAGUUUAGGCUGUUAGAUUGUUCCAGAUAAGACAAGUACAAGAUUCUUCAGAGCCGUUCUACCACGAGCCUGACAGGAAGAACUCCAACAGCUACUGAAUGUUCCUGUGGUUCCCUCAAGGCUACAGGAGGAGUCCUACGAGGACGAGCCGGUCCACCUGAUGGAGGCCAGUCACUGCGGUUCAAAGCCAACACCGACUACGUGGACUUCUACUGGACCACAUGGAGGCCUUCAAACCGGACCAACAAGUUCAGCGACUCCCCGACUCGUGGGUCUGAGGACGCCGCCGAGCCUCGGCUCAGCCGGCCUCCUGUCUGUGGGUGUUUGAGUGCUGAGAGGUUUGUGGAUGCAUGUGAACGUGUCUGUGUUGAAACAGCAGCUUUGGACUCAGUAACGCCAGGAAAAACCAAGAGCUCCUUUAUUUGUGACUUCC
ensembl:lncRNA